rnacentral:rRNA from 1 species
GACGAACGCUGGCGGCGCGCUUAACACAUGCAAGUCGAACGGAAAGGCCUGCUUUCCCUUGUGGAUUGCGAGUACUCGAGUGGCGAACGGGUGAGUAACACGUGAGUGAUCUGCCCCCAACUUGGGUAUAAGCCUGGGAAACUGGGUCUAAUUCCCGAUAGGACUGCAGGGUGGUGCCUGUGGUGGAAAACGAUUUUCUAGUGGUUGGGGAUGAGCUCGCGGCCUAUCAGCUUGUUGGUGGGGUAAUGGCCUACCAAGGCGGCGACGGGUAGCCGGCCUGAGAGGGUGGACGGGCACAUUGGGACUGAGAUACGGCCCAGACUCCUACGGGAGGCAGCAGUGGGGAAUAUUGCACAAUGGGCGGAAGCCUGAUGCAGCGACGCCGCGUGGGGGAUGACGGCCUUCGGGUUGUAAACUCCUUUCGACCGCGAGGAAGCCACCUGGUUGGAAGGGUGGUGACGGUAGUGGUAGAAGAAGCACCGGCUAACUACGUG